GGGCGUGUAGUAUAGUUGGUUAUUGCGCCCGCUUCGCAUUCCCGUGGAAAGAAUUUGGAUUGCGGGAGGUCUGGAGUUCGACUCUCCACUCGUCCA